CAGCCGCCGCGGUAAUACGGAGGGCGCGAGCGUUACCCGGAUUUACUGGGCGUAGAGGGCGUGUAGGCGGCCUGGGGCGUCCCAUGUGAAAGGCCACGGCUCAACCGUGGAGGAGCGUGGGAUACGCUCAGGCUAGAGGGUGGGAGAGGGUGGUGGAAUUCCCGGAGUAGCGGUGAAAUGCGCAGAUACCGGGAGGAACGCCGAUGGCGAAGGCAGCCACCUGGUCCACUUCUGACGCUGAGGCGCGAAAGCGUGGGGAGCAAACCGGAUUAGAUACCCCCGUAGUCCCUGUCUCUUAUAC
rnacentral:rRNA from 1 species